rnacentral:tRNA from 1 species
GGGCGAAUAGCUCAGUUGGUAGAGCGCCUGCCUUACAAGCAGGAUGCCCGGGGUUCGAGUCCCUGUUCGCCCACCA